AUGGGAACGCGAAGAACCUUACCUAGACUUGACAUCUUCUGCAUUAAUCGUAAUGGAUGAAAUCCCUUCGGGGACAGAAUGACAGGUGGUGCAUGGUUGUCGUCAGCUCGUGUUGUGAAAUGUUGGGUUAAGUCCCGCAACGAGCGCAACCCUUAUCCUUUGUUGCCAGCGGUCCGGCCGGGAACUCAAAGGAGACUGCCAGUGAUAAACUGGAGGAAGGUGGGGAUGACGUCAAGUCAUCAUGCCCCUUAUGUCUAGGGCAACACACGUGCUACAAUGGUGAGUACAGAUAGAUGCGAUACCGCAAGGUGGAGCCAAACUCUAAAACUCAUCCCAGUUCGGAUUGUAGGCUGCAACUCGCCUACAUGAAGUUGGAGUUGCUAGUAAUCGCGAAUCAGAAUGUCGCGGUGAAUACGUUCCCGGGUCUUGUACACACCG
rnacentral:rRNA from 1 species